rnacentral:lncRNA from 1 species
CCUGUCUUCUUCAACAGCUCCCACCCCCCGGCCCCUGCCCAGCCUCCCCUACCAGGCUCGAUGUAAAGUGAUGGUGAAGUGAAAACAGAUUUGGGGCCCUUGCCACCUCUUUCUGGUUGGUAACUUUGUUUCUUGGACAACAAUGCAGAGUUUGAAGCCCAUCCAGGGACAACAUUCCAUCUGCCCCCUGCAAGUUCCGGUGCGGUCUUCGCUAAGAGGCCAAGCAAGAUGAUGUAAUCACCUGAUGAGUUCCUCCUGCCCACUGCACAGACAAAACCAAUUCACUGAGACGACGGCAUUGCAAUAAAGAAAGAGCUUAAUUGACACAAGGUUGGCCACUCCUGUCUCAAAUCAAAUCAAUCUGAAAAUUUGGAGGCUAGGGUUUUUAAAGGAUACUUUGGUGGGCAGGGGGCUGGGGAAUGGGGGCUGCUGAUUGGUUGGGGAUGCAAUCACAGGGUUGUGGAAAUUGGUCCUUGUGCACCAAGUCCACUUCUGGGCGGGCUCCCCAGGACCGGCUGAGCCAAGAGUUGAAGGUCUGGGUGGGGCCAUCCGGUCAUCAGAAAUGCAGGUAAAGACAUCUCAAAAGGCCAAUCUUAGGUUCCACAAUAGUGAAUUGGGACAGUUGCAAAUCUUGUAUCCUCUGGAAUAAUGGCUGGUUGUCAUUUAACUAUGCCUGCGUCUUAGCGAAAUUUAGGCCCCUCUCAUCCUCCUAACCUGGUGGCCUUUCUUUUCUUUUCAUUUUUUUUUAAGAAACAGGUUCUUACUCUGUCCCCCAGGCAGGAAUGCAGUG